rnacentral:lncRNA from 1 species
CCUCCAAUUAUUCUGCACACCCUCCCAUGACGGGCCACGCUAACAAGGCUUCUUCAUGCCUCUCUCCUCAUUAAAUAUUACAGACAGGGUGGCUGUGGUGAGACCAUCCAGACUUACCUUAGCUGAUGUAGCAGUUCCAAAGUCUGAUGCGUCCUAAAAAUAUCAAUGCCCAUGAACCUCACCGCAGGAAGUUCUGGUGAAUUGAUCUCAGCUAGAGUUCUGGCAUCAGUGUAGCUUAAAACAAACAAGCGAAACCUUCAAGCGAUGCUAAUGUGAAGACUGAAAGAAAAUCUCUGAGUUAACUGAUGUCUUCUGGCCUCACAAGCAACUGAUCAUCCAUAUUUCGCUGGAAUAUUUCCAUCUUCAUGAAGCAGGCUCAGCUGUUUUCCGCCCACUCUAUAAAAUAUCUCUUUUUGUUAAACAUGUAUAUAUUGUAAUUUUAUUUCAAUCAAACAAACGAAGUUAGCAUGUAGGAAAUUUAAAUGAAACGGUACAGUAUAAACAUCAGAAGAUGAAAAAAAACCUAAAAAGGAAGUAUACCUAGAGCAUAAAAUAACUCUUAUGUUAAGCUAAAAGUGGCUUUUAUUUAUCUCUAACCCACAGAACUAGUUCUGCACUGUGAGACUAUGAAGAAUAAGCUUAUCCUUUUCCACGUGACAGCCUGUUAAUUAUUUGAACAUUUGCUAACAUGGUCUUUCUGAGUAGUCUUUUUCCCCAAGCUAAACAUGUAGAAUUAAAAAAAAAAAAAAGUUAAACUGAUGAUUUGUUAUUAGUUUAACCCAUCCCUAGCUGGACAUAGAGCUUGUCACAUUCCCUGGAUCAGAAAGAUUUACAUUUCUAAAUGCCUUGCAUUCCCGAAAGACACAGUUUACAAACAGACUCAGAUAGCUCUGGAUCAUGCUGCAAGCCAGAAAAUUCCUUUCUCUUGUUAUCAAACACAGGAAUGCCUGGCUUGUGUCAAAAUGAAUGAAACGUUAUCCAACUGUUUUUUUGUUUUUUGUUUUUUGUUUUAACUUUAAAUAAUCCUUGAAGAAUACAGAGCAGAAUAUUACAAGGUCCAGGAAGUAUAAAAUAUAACAUUUAAGCUAGGUAGGAGAGUAAAAAAAUUCUUCAAAUAUUUCUCUUUUUUAUCUUGAGACCCCAGUUACUCCGCAAGCUGCAUUCCCUUGCACGUUGCCAUAUGAUCACCAUUAUAAGAAGGAAAAAGCUUCAGUCAGCUCUCAAAACCCGCCUAUGAGCUUUUUCUUUGACAAUACCCAGGUCUUUCUACUGUUCCAUGGCAAAGGUUUCUAGUUUCUUCGUUACUAUGUUCACUCUUUUGAGGGCGUCCCCCCUCCUCAAGUGUGGUCUGCCUAGUGAGCAGUUAAACGGAACCCCUAACUCUCUUGCUCCCAAGAGAGCCCCCACGAAUUUUGUAGGCUGGUUCUUUGAUAAAAUGUCAGCUAUGAGGACAGCCCUACAGAUUAUAGCCACACAUCUCUCUUCUGGUUGACACUCGUUCAUUAAUCAUAACCCAGUCCAUUACUAAUUAUCCACAGAAAAAAAAAGCCCAAGGGCUGGCAGUUAUUCAAGAUCAUCCAUAAUUAGGUCCCAAAUGAAUCUUUCUGCCUUUAUUCCCCAAGUCACCCUAAAAAGGGGGCCCUUAUUAAAUCAGUGUACUCACUGUCUCUCUAAAUCAUGACAGAGAUAUUUCUGUCUGCCCAUGUAUACCAUUCUCCCUGUAAUGGAAUGAAGCCUCCUCCCAUUCAUAGAAUCCGUUUUGCCUCUACAUAAUCUACUCAACAUUCACAGUCAGCACAAGCCGGGUCUCUACCUUGCAAAUGUCUCAGAGGCUGAAGUGCACAGAACCUUAUAGUUUCUUUGAACAUCUGUUGCCUUUAUUGUCUAUAAUGGCAGUAGUAAUAGCAACACAAAUAAUAAUAAUUGCUUAAUAACAGUUACCAUUUUUACUGGACGCUCUUCUGGGCAAUUCAUAGAUAUAUUUAACCCUGAGGGUAGGUCCCAUUUUACCUAUUUUACAGACAAAGAAACUGAGAAUCAAAAAGGCUAAGCAACUCACCAACAUGGCAAAGCUACUAAGAAGUGGAGUUAGGAUUCAAUCCCUGGUCUACCUGACUCUGUGAUACCAGGUCACCUUAUUUCUAUGUCUCCUUGGCCCUGAAUCAUGCACUGACUUGUAUUAUAAUUUAACUUUACCAUACUAGAUAAACAUUACUUACAACUUGUAAAAUUUAAAGCAAAUCAGCAUCAUGUUAAUACUUAAGUAUGACAUAUAAGCAUACAAGACUAGUUUAAAAGCCUGAAAGAUCCCAAGGGACACUGUCACAUUUGCUACCCAAAAUCAAGUCAUGCCUGUUCUUAUUCAACUCUCUUUUUCCUGGUUAGACUUUAAUUAUACCCAUUUCAAUUAAAGGAUUGCAUCCCGAUGAGAUAUGUGCAUCUUAGAAAGGGAGAAUUUGACGCAGAUACAUGGAUUAUGAGUUGGCCGUAAUUCUCAGGUGACUUCCUAAGGAAUUUUUUUCUCCGGUGUUUUCUCUGAAAGUUUGGUUCUUUCUCCCUCCCAUAGGCUCAGCCUUAUCCUCCUGCUUACCUGGUGGCCAGCCUCUAUCUGCCUCUAGCAGCCUAGGCUUCCCCAAGUACAGUUCUAUGUACCAGGCCGUCAAACAGUAUUCUGUGCUACAUUCACUCAGAGAUUGCUCUUCUUUCAAUGCUGGGAUAAAAAUGUCUGCUAAUGAGCACUCCUUCUCCAGACCCAUCCUGCUCACCCUACCAACAACUUGCAUGCUCUGUAUUAGAAGCCAGCUGGAAAGAGUGCUCCAUCCAAACGGGUGACCAGGAUGCUAGGCUUUGCAGUACCAUAAAGGUCUUUCUGGCAGCAGGACUUUUCCACCCUCUUAAAUCAGACAACAUUCAGUGGUCCCACAUUAUCUGCAGGGAAUUAGUUCCAGGACCUGGUGCAGAUACCAGCUUUCGGGCAUACUCAUGUCUCAUAACCAGUCUUCUCUGUAGUCAUAGAUUCUGUACCAUCUGCUCUUGGUUGAGUCUGUGGAUUUGGAACCUGUGGAUACGGAGGGCCUGCUGUAUCCACCCCCUCCUAAGGGUCCACCUGCCAUGAUCUAGUCUCAGGACUCUUGAGAGUAAGCAGACAAACAGGGGCCUGUAUCAGCAGUGUUGGUGAUGUGAAGGAAGCACUGGCUUCACUGGUGUAACACACCCACUUUACUACUAUGCAAAAUGUAUGGUAGGACAGAAAUUUUUUCUCAAUCCAUUGUCAAGUAAGACAGAGAAAAAGAUAUUGAUCUUGAUAAGUACAUAUAAAUAUUAUAUCUAACUAUGGAUACCUAAUACCAUUCCAGUGGUUUCUAAAUUACAUGAAGGUCUAGCUUUGUUUGUUUGAAAUAUUACUUGCAUAUUACUUGAAAUAGUACUUAGCUAAUCCUCAAGCACCCUUUUAAGUCAUUGCCAUAUAAUUAACCUCAUUUUAACCAAGACAGACUUUAGUGGCUUAUCCUUUAGUCUACAGAAAGAUCAAGGAGAAUAGCAGAAUUAGAAGAACUUAAAUAUAAUCUAUAGUCUCCACUAUGAAUAAAUAAUAGAUAUAGAUCUGUUGGUAAAUUAGGGUAAGAAGUUGAUACUUGGAGAGGAUUUGCCUGCAUGUAAGCUCAAUGGAAACAGCCAAUGAAAUAACAUUGCCAAGUACCAUUUGCCAUUAUAGAUCCCUGUAAUGAUCCAUUGACCUCAUCUUCCAGAAUCAUAUAUUUCCCAAAUAUAACCCAUUUUAACUCAAAUUAACCUUUAUAUCUUCUUAUAAGCCAAGUUUACUUCUAUCAUUAUCCACAAUUUUAUGGAAGGAGUAUCGAUUUUUCUGGGAUUAAUAUUAUUCAUUUCUAUUAUGGUACACAUUUAAAAGGAAAAAAUGUGGUUGUUCAAACCCAAAAAAACUAUUGGUUAGUAUAAGGUUCCUCUUAAGAAUAUAAAUUUUAAAAAGUGAACCUUAUUAAUGGGAACUAUGUAUAAUAUGUAUGAGAUGCAUAUUCUCUGGGAACAUUCAGCAAUGAAGGAAAAAACCUUUUGACUAAAUGACUUAGAAAUAGCCCUGCCUGCCUGAUUCAUUAUGGAUCACUAGUAUGAGUCAUAAGCACCAAAGCCCAGGUACAAGUUGGUGACAUUGUGAUAUCACAUGGCUAUAAUGACAGGCUUAGCUUCUUAAGCUUUAAUUUCAUAAUUAACUUUUUCAAGGUAAGAUGGAUCCGGUGUCAGUGGUUACAAAGCUUUCAGAAGAAACCUGGAAUAUGUGAAAUAUUUUAUUGGUGACCUAGAGUCAUCUUAGUGAAAGUCACAUAAGGUAAUACGUUAAUGGCUAAGGGACGAUUAUUUUACUUUUAACAUUGAGAUUAUGAUAAAGUGCGGCCUUUUCUAGCUCAUGCUAUUUUUGUUUCACGGUGGCUGACAUUCCAAAAAAGGGUUACAUCCUAGUUAUUUUCUCUUUGGAAAAUUCAGAUACCUCCAGUGGUGUUGGUGAAUAAAGAAAGUGUCAAAAUUUUACCUGUAUUGAAUGCACUCCAUGAAAUACUUUCCAUUUGGUUGAUUGAUGGAUUGAUAAACAAGGGAAGACAGUGGGCAUAUUUUCUCAUUGAGUUGAGUGCAUUUGACCAACAGGUAAGGUAAUUCUGCUGUUUACAGUACAUGACUUUGGAUUUCUUGGAAGUAUUUUAUUCAUAUUUUAAAUAAUGAAUAAAUCAAUAAAUUAAUAUUUUAAUGAUUUUUAAGUUGUGUCUAAUCAUAUUUAGCUUUACAUCUAAUUGAUUUUCUCUUUCUCAAUUUUUUGAUCAAUUUUCUGCACCAAUGGAGGGAAGUAAUGACAUGGAUAAUCCGAAACAAGGGAUAAUUUUUAAAGGUAUAUUUAUAUAUUAAUGUUUAAUUAUGAAGCUAAAGAAUAGUCUAUCUCCUGUUCUGCUCCAUUGUGAAUCAGCAGGAACAAAGAUCCUGUCUUUUUUGACUGUAUCUUAGGAUAUAGCUCAGUGUCUAGCAUAGAAAAUAUCUAAAAA